UGAUCAUGGCUCAGGAUGAACGCUGGCGGCGUGCCUAAUACAUGCAAGUCGAGCGAAUGGAUUAAGAGCUUGCUCUUAUGAAGUUAGCGGCGGACGGGUGAGUAACACGUGGGUAACCUGCCCAUAAGACUGGGAUAACUCCGGGAAACCGGGGCUAAUACCGGAUAACAUUUUGAACCGCAUGGUUCGAAAUUGAAAGGCGGCUUCGGCUGUCACUUAUGGAUGGACCCGCGUCGCAUUAGCUAGUUGGUGAGGUAACGGCUCACCAAGGCAACGAUGCGUAGCCGACCUGAGAGGGUGAUCGGCCACACUGGGACUGAGACACGGCCCAGACUCCUACGGGAGGCAGCAGUAGGGAAUCUUCCGCAAUGGACGAAAGUCUGACGGAGCAACGCCGCGUGAGUGAUGAAGGCUUUCGGGUCGUAAAACUCUGUUGUUAGGGAAGAACAAGUGCUAGUUGAAUAAGCUGGCACCUUGACGGUACCUAACCAGAAAGCCACGGCUAACUACGUGCCAGCAGCCGCGGUAAUACGUAGGUGGCAAGCGUUAUCCGGAAUUAUUGGGCGUAAAGCGCGCGCAGGUGGUUUCUUAAGUCUGAUGUGAAAGCCCACGGCUCAACCGUGGAGGGUCAUUGGAAACUGGGAGACUUGAGUGCAGAAGAGGAAAGUGGAAUUCCAUGUGUAGCGGUGAAAUGCGUAGAGAUAUGGAGGAACACCAGUGGCGAAGGCGACUUUCUGGUCUGUAACUGACACUGAGGCGCGAAAGC
rnacentral:rRNA from 2 species